rnacentral:rRNA from 1 species
UACGUAGGGGGCAAGCGUUGUCCGGAAUUACUGGGCGUAAAGCGUGCGCAGGCGGUUAUGUAGGACAGGUGUGAAAUCCCCGGGCUCAACCUGGGAACUGCAUCUGUGACUGCAUAGCUAGAGUACGGUAGAGGGGGAUGGAAUUCCGCGUGUAGCAGUGAAAUGCGUAGAUAUGCGGAGGAACACCGAUGGCGAAGGCAAUCCCCUGGACCUGUACUGACGCUCAUGCACGAAAGCGUGGGGAGCAAACAGG